rnacentral:rRNA from 1 species
ACCCGCUGAANUUAAGCAUAUCGCUAAGCGGAGGAAAAGAAACCAACCGGGAUUCCCUUAGUAACGGCGAGUGAACCGGGAGAAGCCCAACGCCGAAUCCCGUCGCAAGUAAAAGGCUUCGGGACGUGUGGCGCACGGGUCGAAGACAGCCGUUCGUUUUCGUUCGCGUAGUUCGGAGUUCCCUCGAUCGGGGCCGNCCGCGGCGGGUGCCAGGCCCAUUCGGUGUGGACGGCGAGCGACGGUCUUCGAUCCGAGAGUCGGGUUGCUUGGGAACGCAGCCCAAAUCGGGUGGUAAGCUCCAUCCAAGGCUAAAUACCGGGACGAGUCCGAUAGUCGACAAGUACCGUGAGGGAAAGUUGAAAAGAACUUUGGAGAGAGAGUUCAAGAGAACGUGAAACCGCCCAGGGGUAAACGGGUGGGACCGUUCACCGCGAUCGCGGGGGGACUCAGUCCGGUGCUGCUGCCACUGCUAAAGGCCGCUGCGGUCGUCGUUCGUUCGCUUCGGCGGACGUUUGCUUUUGCGCUCGCGUCGCCGACAGGGGCGGACUCGUUCCGUCUCGCGCUUGGCAAUUAUGUCGCGGGCGCUUCGGCGCGACCACCCGCACGGUCGGCACCGGACGCACUUCCCCUCCGGUCCGUCGUCGCGACCCGUUCUCGGCGUGCAGGUCGACGCGCGGUGUCCGUAGGUGGAAAGCGAUCAAAACCCUCUCGUCGGUUCGCCGGCGUUAGGGUCGCCUUCCGCCGGGCCCGCGACCGUACUGCCCUUUUCUGCCGGGGACGGAGGAACCGUAACGCGAUCCGUUCACACGUGGCGAUCCGACCUACCGUUGGGCUAACUCUGGCGUGUCUCUGACUUUCCGCCCCACUGUCUCGGGCGGGCGUCGGAGCCUUCGGAAAGUCGGUGCGGCCGCGCCGGUCGCGCACCGUGGCGUCUAUCCGUCUCGACCUCUGUGUCGGGGCGGGUUUCUGCGACGCGGUCGCCCGGCGCCGCUUUCGUGCCGCCCGUCACCUCGGGUCAGCGACGUGCAUCGGCAACCCACCGACCCGUCUUGAAACACGGACCGAAGGAGUCCUGCCGUUCGCGAAGUCGUAGGGCCGCAUUGACUAACCCGAGGCGUAGCGAAAGCGAGAGAGCGUGUUGAGGGCUCCGGGCCGGGAGAGGUGUCGUGGCGAAGCUUCGGCCUAGCUGCGCCCGAUCCCGCCGGGGCGGCGUCCCCGCCAUUCCAAUCCCCGUCGUUAACGUCGCCGCUUCGGCGGUGGCGACCCGACUCUCGCAAGGGAGGAAGGUUUCGGCGGCGGCGGAGGGGGCGUCAUUCUCCUCCUUCCGCCCGUCGGUGAGAUCCCGCGCGCGACAGACCGUGCGCGGGCGCACCACCCCCGGGUCGGAUUUUCCGACUACGAGUCGGCCGACUCUGGUGUAGCGAGCGGCCAGGGACCCGAAAGAUGGCGAUCCACGCCCGGUCGGGAUGAAGCCAGAGGAAACUCUGGUGGAAGUCCGAAGCGCCUCUGACGUGCAAAUCGAUCGUCGGAACCGGGUGUAGGGGCGAAAGACCAAUCGAGCCGUCUAGUAGCUGGUUCCCUCCGAAGUUUCCCUCAGGAUAGCUGGCGCUCGAUCGUCGCAAUUCCAUCCGGUAAAGCGAACGAUUGGAGGCCCCGGGGCCGUUCACGGCCUCGACCUACUCUCGAACUCGGAACGGGUGGAACCGGGUCGACUCUCCCGAAUAACGGAGCCGUCCCUAUCGUCCAUUUUCGGACGACAUUCGAAUGCGAGUGNCAAGUGGGCCACUUUUGGUAAGCAGAACUGGCGCUGUGGGAUGAACCAAACGUCCGGCUAAGGUGCCUAACGCGACGCCCAUGAGAUCCCCGAAAGGGUGUCGGUCGAUAUAGACAGCAGGACGGUGGCCACGGAAGUCGGAACCCGCUAAGGAGUGUGUAACAACUCACCUGCCGAAUCGACCGGCCCCGAAAAUGGAUGGCGCUGGAGCGACGGACCGAUGCCGGACCGUCGCGGCGAGGAGCGAAUAUAAACGCGCCGAACCGAUGCCACGACGAGUAGGAGGGCGCCGCGGUGUGCACGGAAGCCUAGGGCGCGAGCCCGGGUGGAGCCGACCGCGGGUGCAGAUCUCGGUGGUAGUAGCAAAUAUUCGAACGAGACCUUCGAAGACCGAAGUGGAGAAGGGUUCCGUGCCAACGGCGGUCGAGCACGGGUCAGUCGGUCCUAAGACGCGGGCGAAAGUCUUCCCGAAAGGCGCCGGAUCCGUCAAUGAAAUUAAGAAUUCACGUUCGAAAUCAAAAGCGGCCGGCCUCCCGUCGAAAGGGAAUCGGGUUAAUAUUCCCGAACCCGGACUCGGAGAGGGCCCGGGGGUGGCGACGCUGUUGGCAGCGGCGACCUUUACGGUCGUCGUCGUCGGUGGCGCCCGUUGCUUUCCCGGGCGAAACCGCGGUGACGCAAGCGAGCCCGGAGACGUCGCCGGGAGCCCCGGGAAGAGUUCUCUCUUCUUCGUAAAGGACCGUGUCCGUGGAAUCGGCUCGUCCGGAGAUACGGAAAAGGUACCUGUAGAGCGCCGCGGCUCGGGCGGCGUCCGGUGCGCUUUCGGCGGCCCUGGAAAAUCCGGGUCCGGUUUUUUCGCAGCUCUCGAGCCGGUCCGUACCCACCAUCCGCAGCAGGUCUCCAAGGUGUACAGCCUCUCGUCGAUGGCAUCAAUGUAGGUAAGGGAAGUCGGCAAAAUGGAUCCGUACCUUCGGAAGAAGGAUUGGCUCCGAGGACCGGGUCGGUCGGGCCGUGUUCCGUGCGAAGCGAGGAACCGGUACGGGGCUGUAGCGUUCGCUCCGUUCGCGCUUUGCGGUUGUGGGUAUAGGGCCGCGUGGUAUAGGGUCGUUUCGGUGCUUCGGCGUGGCGGGCCAAAGGGUCGGGCGGGGACCCGGUGCGUUGCGGUCUCGUCGUACGUCGCGGGCGGCGCGUCCUCCUCUUCACCGAGGGGUGGCGCGUCCUCGUGGUUGCGCGGCGUCUCCGAGGCGUGCCGGCCACUCCUGUCCGUUCUCUCCGUUUCGCUUUGUGCCGUGCGAGUCUUCUCGCCUGCGGUACCACCUCGUCGCUCUCGGCGCGUCGGUCGGUGAGCAAAACGGCUCCUCGCCCGGGUCUUCGUGGAGCGCCACGGCUUCCAGCCCCUCUUCGGGCCGCGUAACCGGCGGAAGAUGCGCUCGCGCGCGUCGACCACGGCACAUCGCACCCGUUGCUCAGCGCCUCUCUCGGGCGUGGGGGCGUUCGUCCGGCAGCGAACGGUCGACUCGGAACUGGUACGGACCGGGGGAAUCCGACUGUCUAAUUAAAACAAAGCAUCGUGUGGCCGGUCGACCCGUACAGACACGAUGUGAUUUCUGCCCAGUGCUCUGAAUGUCAAAGUGAAGAAAUUCGACCAAGCGCGGGUAAACGGCGGGAGUAACUAUGACUCUCUAA